rnacentral:rRNA from 1 species
GCUUGUCUCAAAGAUUAAGCCAUGCAUGUCUAAGUAUAAACAAAUCUAUACGUGAAACUGCGAAUGGCUCAUUAUAUCAGUUAUAGUUUAUUUGAUGGUUCUUGCUACUUGGAUAACCGUAGUAAUUCUAGAGCUAAUACAUGCGUCAAACCUCGACUUCUGGGAGAGAUGCUUUUAUUAGAUCAAAACCAAACGGCUUCGGCCGUCUCAUUGGUGACUCUGAAUAACUUUGGGCUGAUCGUAUGGCCUUGUGCCGACGACGUUUCCUUCGAAGGUGUGCCCUAUCAACUGUCGACUGUGAUAUAGACGCUCACAGUGGUUUUGACGGGUAACGGGGAAUCAGGGUUCGAUUCCGGAGAGGGAGCCUUAAAAACGGCUACCACAUCCAAGGAAGGCAGCAGG